CAAUAACACCAGGAUGAAUCACUUUGUAAGAAGCUUGAUUUGGAUACAUAAAGUGGUGGAGAAACACCAGGAAGUUGAAUAAAUCUCAUAGGAGUUGUAUGAUUUUUAAAGAGAUCUCUACUCUUGUAGUAUGUGUGUAUGGAUAAUCUCCAAUGGAGAAUGAUUAGAGCUUGUUUUUUUUUUUUUUUUAAAAUGCAACAAUAGAUGAAUGCAUUAGGUUACACACUAACUAUAUGAAUGAAACAGAUUCAAUCCAAAUGAACACAAGACUA
rnacentral:lncRNA from 1 species